GCAGCUGUGACUUUGGGGUGCCAGCUGUGAGGUUGGGGUGGCAGCUGUGACGUUGGGGUGCCAGCAGCAGGUUGGGGUGCCAGCAGUGACGUUGGGGUGCCAGCAGUGACUUUGGGGUGCCAGCUGUGACACUGGGGUGCCAGCACUGACGUUGGGGUGCCAGCAGCAGCGCUCCGGGGAGGUGAGGGUGAGCCCGUGACUCACCUCGUCUCUGGCCCGGCUUGGCUUGUUUAAAGGGCUUUCCUUAUCCUUCCCACGAAGGAAGCUCAGGUGCUCUUUUCUCCUGCGACGGCCGCUCGCCCACCAGUGCCUGCGCUUCUGUUCUGCGGCAGGCUCUCCAGGCAGGCUCAGAGAGCCGCAGAGCGCCAGCCCGAGCUCCCUCCCUCCCUCCCUCCCUCUCGGGCAGGUGCGGCGUAGCCUCGCUCGGAGGCUCGCGUGCUGCCUGCGCUUUAUGGCUGUGAAAUCGCCGGGGCCGUGCGAUGGAGGGAGCCGGGUUCCCCCUUUCUGUUGGGAGGAGGUGGAAGAUCUUCUCGAGCAGAGUCCCGACGUCCUCGUGCCUUGCCUUGUCGCAGGUUUGCACGCUGGGAAAGGCCCCGGAGCUGUCUGCUGGGCUCUGUUGUGUCGUGGGCCCUGCUAGGGAGUUCCUUACGCGUAGAGCUUGCACCUGACUUCUGUUGACACUUGGAAAGGAUUUUAGAUACAGACUGGAUUAAUUAUUGCUACCACAUACGAUGAACAUUAAACUGCUUCUUUGACAUCC